CCUACGGGUGGCAGCAGUGAGGAAUAUUGGUCAAUGGGCGUAAGCCUGAACCAGCCAAGCCGCGUGAGGGAUGAAGGUUCUAUGGAUCGUAAACCUCUUUUAUAAGGGAAUAAAGUGUGGGACGUGUCCUAUUUUGUAUGUAUCUUAUGAAUAAGGAUCGGCUAACUCCGUGCCAGCAGCCGCGGUAAUACGGAGGAUCCGAGCGUUAUCCGGAUUUAUUGGGUUUAAAGGGUGCGUAGGCGGCCUUUUAAGUCAGCGGUGAAAGCCCGUGGCUCAACCAUGGAAUUGCCGUUGAAACUGGGGGGCUUGAGUGUAGUUGAGGCAGGCGGAAUGCAUGGUGUAGCGGUGAAAUGCUUAGAUAUCAGGCAGAACACCGAUUGCGAAGGCAGCUUGCCAAGCUAUGACUGACGCUGAGGCACGAAAGCGUGGGGAGCAAACAGGAUUAGAUACCCUAGUAGUC
rnacentral:rRNA from 1 species